rnacentral:rRNA from 1 species
UUACCCCCGGGGGAAAACUAGCAUAUCAAUAAGCGGAGGAAAAGAAACCAACAGGGAUUGCCCUAGUAACGGCGAGUGAAGCGGCAACAGCUCAAAUUUGAAAUCUGGCUCUUUUAGAGUCCGAGUUGUAAUUUGCAGAGGGCGCUUUGGCUUUGGCAGCGGUCCAAGUUCCUUGGAACAGGACGUCACAGAGGGUGAGAAUCCCGUACGUGGUCGCUAGCUAUUGCCGUGUAAAGCCCCUUCGACGAGUCGAGUUGUUUGGGAAUGCAGCUCUAAAUGGGAGGUAAAUUUCUUCUAAAGCUAAAUACUGGCCAGAGACCGAUAGCGCACAAGUAGAGUGAUCGAAAGAUGAAAAGCACUUUGGAAAGAGAGUCAAACAGCACGUGAAAUUGUUGAAAGGGAAGCGCUUGCAGCCAGACUUGCUUGCAGUUGCUCAUCCGGGCUCUUUUGCCCGGUGCAUUCUUCUGCAGGCAGGCCAGCAUCAGUUUGGGCGGUGGGAUAAAGGUCUCUGUCACGUACCUCUCUUCGGGGAGGCCUUAUAGGGGAGACGACAUACCACCAGCCUGGACUGAGGUCCGCGCAUUUAUGCUAGGAUGCUGGCGUAAUGGCUGUAAGCGGCCCGUCUUGAAACACGGACCAAGGAGUCUAACAUCUAUGCGAGUGUUUGGGUGUCAAGCCCGAACGCGUAAUGAAAGUGAACGGAGGUGGGAACCCGCAAGGGUGCACCAUCGACCGAUCCUGAUGUCUUCGGAAGGAUUUGAGUAAGAGCAUGGCUGUUGGGACCCGAAAGAUGGUGAACUAUGCUUGAAUAGGGUGAAGCCAGAGGAAACUCUGGUGGAGGCUCGCAGCGGUUCUGACGUGCAAAUCGAUCGUCAAAUUUGGGCAUAGGGGCGAAAGACUAAUCGAACUAUCUAGUAGCUGGUUCCUGCGAGUUCCCCCCCCCGGGGAGAA